rnacentral:rRNA from 1 species
GACGAACGCUGGCGGCGUGCUUAACACAUGCAAGUCGAACGGAAAGGCCCUGCUUUUGUGGGGUGCUCGAGUGGCGAACGGGUGAGUAACACGUGAGUAACCUGCCCUUGACUUUGGGAUAACUUCAGGAAACUGGGGCUAAUACCGGAUAGGAGCUCCUGCUGCAUGGUGGGGGUUGGAAAGUUUCGGCGGUUGGGUAUGGACUCGCGGCUUAUCAGCUUGUUGGUUGGGUAGUGGCUUACCAAGGCUUUGACGGGUAGCCGGCCUGAGAGGGUGACCGGCAACAAUGGGACUGAGAUACGGACCAGAAUCGAACGGGAGGCAGCAGUGGGGAAGAUUGAACAAUGGGAGGAAGCAUGAUGAAGAAACGCGGCGUGCGGGAUGAAGGCCUUCGGGUGGUAAACCGCUUUAGACUGUGAAGAAGAGUGAGUGACGGUAAUGGGUAAAGAAGCACCGGCUAACUACGUG